rnacentral:ncRNA from 1 species
AAAAAAAAUAUUUAUUAUUUUAAUUCUAUGUUAAAAACUUUACAUAUAGAUAAAAUAUUAUGAUUUUAGAAAUUUAUUAUUAAUUUAUUUUACAUAUAAAUUUUAGUGUUAAUUUUUGAUUAUUUUAAUAAUAAUUAAAUUAAAUUGUAGUAAUUAAAAUUAAAAAUUUAAGAAAUUAAGAUUUAGUAAUAUUAAAAUUAUUAACAAAUUUUGUGCCAGCAGUUGCGGUUACACAAAAAUUAAAAUAAAUUUUUUUAGUUUAAAAUAAAUUAAUAAUAAAUUAAAUUAAAUAUUAAAUUAUUAAGUGAAAUUUUAAUUUAAUUAAAAUUUAUUUAUAUUUUUUGAUUUAAUAAAUUUUAUUAAUAAACUAGGAUUAGAUACCCUAUUAUUAAAAAUUAAAUUUUAAUACUAAAAUAUUAGAUAUAUUAUAAAAUUAUUGAAACUUAAAUAAUUUGGCGGUAUUUUAGUUCAUUUAGAGGAAUCUGUUUAGUAAUUGAUAAUCCACGAAUAAAUUUACUUAAUUUUAUGUUUUAUAUAUCGUUGUUAAAAAAAUAUUUUUAAAUAAUAAUAAUAUUUUAAAAUUAAAAAAAAAAUUAAUUCAGAUCAAGAUGUAGAUUAUAAUUAAGAAUAUAAUGGAUUACAAUAAAUUUAUUUAAAUGGAUUUUAUUUUGGAACAAUAAAAUGAAAGUGGAUUUAAAUGUAAUUUUAUUAAUUUUAUUAAAAUGAUUGAAAAUUAAAAUAUGUACAUAUUGCCCGUCGCUUUCAUUUAAAAAUUGGAAUAAGUCGUAACAAAGUAGAGGUACUGGAAAGUGUUUCUAGAAAGA